GGCCAUAUCGCAUUGAAACACCGGUUCCUGUUCAAUCAUCAGAAUUAAGCAACGUCGUGCCUGGUCAGUACUUAGAUGGGUGACCGCUUGGCAAUAUCCGGUGCUGUAA